rnacentral:rRNA from 1 species
AUUGAACGCUGGCGGCAUGCUUUACACAUGCAUGUCGGAUGAGUGGCGAACGGGUGAGUAAUAUAUCGGAACGUACCGAGUAAUGGGGGAUAACUAAUCGAAAGAUUAGCUAAUACUGCAUAUUAGUCGAGCGGCCGAUAGCUGAUUAGCUAGUUGGUGGGGUAAAGGCCUACCAAGGCGACGAUCAGUAGCGGGUCUGAGCGGAUGUGCUGGCACACUGGGACUGUGACGCGGGCCACACUCCUACGAGAGGCAGGAGUGGGGAAGUUUGGACAAUGGGCGCAAGCCUGUUCCAUCCAUGCCGCGUGUCUGAAGAAGGCCUUCGGGUUGGUGAGUAGUUUUGUCAUGGAAGCGGUACCUGAAGAAGAAGCACCGGCUAACUACGUGCCAGCAGCCGCGGUAAAC